rnacentral:rRNA from 1 species
GAUGAACGCUCGCUACAGGCUUAACACAUGCAAGUCGAGGGGCAGCAUGGUCUUAGCUUGCUAAGGCCGAUGGCGACCGGCGCACGGGUGAGUAACACGUAUCCAACCUGCCGUCUACUCUUGGACAGCCUUCUGAAAGGAAGAUUAAUACAAGAUGGCAUCAUGAGUCCGCAUGUUCACAUGAUUAAAGGUAUUCCGGUAGACGAUGGGGAUGCGUUCCAUUAGAUAGUAGGCGGGGUAACGGCCCACCUAGUCUUCGAUGGAUAGGGGUUCUGAGAGGAAGGUCCCCCGCAUUGGAACUGGGACACGGUCCAAACUCCUACGGGAGGCAGCAGUGAGGAAUAUUGGUCAAUGGGCGAGAGCCUGAACCAGCCAAGUAGCGUGAAGGAUGACUGCCCUAUGGGUUGUAAACUUCUUUUAUAAAGGAAUAAAGUCGGGUAUGGAUACCCGUUUGCAUGUACUUUAUGAAUAAGGAUCGGCUAACUCCGU